rnacentral:rRNA from 1 species
CGGACGGGUGAGUAAUGUCUGGGAAACUGCCUGAUGGAGGGGGAUAACUACUGGAAACGGUAGCUAAUACCGCAUAACGUCGCAAGACCAAAGAGGGGGACCUUCGGGCCUCUUGCCAUCGGAUGUGCCCAGAUGGGAUUAGCUAGUAGGUGGGGUAACGGCUCACCUAGGCGACGAUCCCUAGCUGGUCUGAGAGGAUGACUAGCCACACUGGAACUGAGACACGGUCCAG